rnacentral:rRNA from 1 species
AUGGCUUCCCGGAGAUAUGGUACUCGUGGCGCCACCAGAUGCAGGCCGUGGCCGCCGCAGGGUACCGCGCCAUCGCGCCGGACUGCCGCGGGUACGGCCUGUCGGACCAGCCGCCGGAGCACGAGGAGCCCUUCUGGGAGGACCUCGUCGCCGACGUGCUCGCCAUCCUCGAUGCCCUCUCCAUCCCCAAGGGCAUAUUUCCAACAGCGGUGGCGCCAGCCGGGGCAGGCGGAGGCGGACUUCGGGCGGUACAACAUCCGGUGCGUGGUGCGCACCAUCUACGUGCUCUUCUCCGGCCGCGAGAUCCCGGCCGCCGAGCAAGGCCAGGAGGCCAUGGACCUAGCCGACGGCUCCGCGCCCCUGCCGGAGUGGUUCACCGAGGAGGACCUCGACGUGUACGCCGCGCUCUACGAGAACUCCGGCUUCGGGUACCCGAUCAAAAUGCCGUACGGGUCGCUGGACAAGAUGGCCACCCAGCUGGAGGCCAGGUUCGAGGUGCCGGUGCUGAUGGUGAUGGGGGAGGACUACGUCAUGAAGCUGCCAGGGUUCGAGGCCGCCGUGAGGGGCGGCAUGAUGGCCGGCUUCGCGCCUGACCUCAAGGUCGCCUUCGUCCCGGAGGGCAGGCAUUUCGUGCAGGAGCAGUUCCCGACGCAGGUUAACGAGCUCCUCCUUGGUUUCUUGAAGGAUCACCCGUGA